CUACAUAACACCCUAACGUGCUAUGUACCUUCGUAGCACACCUCACAGCCCCAGCCCACCUCCUCCUUCUACUUGCAUGUCAGUAAUUUUUUUACCCGGUGAAUGCCGCACCCUCCCACAACCAACCGUGUCAAGCGAUGGCGAAUUGGCGAAUUGGCGAUUGGCUUCGGGAGAAAGCGAUGUAGGUCUCCAUCGUAGGCAAUUUUAGGGUUCGGGCUUGGUGACAGUGUCCAUGGCAGCGGGCGAUCGAAAGAGAGGAUGGGGGCCGCACGAAUUCGUUGCAUGCGCGCCGGAUCUGGCAGCGGGGCAUGAAUUAGGGCGUUACCUGGGGAGGAAGUGGGCGGCAGCUGAGGUCGCCGUGCUUCGUCGACCUUGGCACGGCAUCGGUCUUUGGCAUCCUCAGGAAAAAAAACAGGUUUGCAUAUUGAUGGUCCACCCUUAAUUUGCUACAUAAUUGCCUUACAUUUGUUCGUUGGUCUUGCUGUAUAUUGCCGGCAUCCAAAGUCAGCCAAGGGCUUCCUCAAGCUGAGCCCAACCCCAAAGGUUUGUGUUGUUUCUCUGAACAGGGCAAGCUACUGUUGAUCUGCAAUCAGUGUGGGCCAUGACACCGUUCAGCAAGAUGGACACCAACCUAAGGUGCCAGAGCUAUCCUGCCGCUCGCCGCAAUGGUAUCUCUCAUUUCCACAGGUUCCUCAUAUUGUUCACCAUGUAGCUCUGGAGAAAUCUCUUAUAUCUGCUGAUCAUGUUUUUUCUCUAGACACAUCUUGAUUGGUAUAAGUAUUCAUGUUAAUCCUAAGUAACUUGACCAUAGAAGAAAUAAUCUGCAGCUGUGGUUGGUAUUCACACUCCACUAUGAUUGAUGGUUUGGGUGUUGCUGGUUUGGGAGUUGGUGACAUUGAAGCAACCACUGACUGCACAAACACAUCAAAUAUACGUAUAAGUUUUAUGAGUCUAUUAGUAUGUUCUUUAGAUUUUUUUUUAACUACAGUCUUGUAUCUGACAUUCUGAAUUGCUGACGAAUACGUGUAUGAAA